rnacentral:rRNA from 1 species
GGCGCAUUAGCUAGUUGGUGGGGUAAAGGCUUACCAAGGCAAUGAUGCGUAGCCGAACUGAGAGGUUGAUCGGCCACAUUGGGACUGAGACACGGCCCAAACUCCUACGGGAGGCAGCAGUAGGGAAUCUUCCACAAUGGGCGAAAGCCUGAUGGAGCAACGCCGCGUGGGUGAAGAAGGUCUUCGGAUCGUAAAACCCUGUUGUUAGAGAAGAAAGUGCGUGAGAGUAACUGUUCACGUUUCGACGGUAUCUAACCAGAAAGCCACGGCUAACUACGUGCCAGCAGCCGCGGUAAUACGUAGGUGGCAAGCGUUAUCCGGAUUUAUUGGGCGUAAAGGGAACGCAGGCGGUCUUUUAAGUCUGAUGUGAAACCCUUCGGCUUAACCGGAGUAGUGCAUUGGAAACUGGGAGACUUGAGUGCAGAAGAGGAGAGUGGAACUCCAUGUGUAGCGGUGAAAUGCGUAGAUAUAUGGAAGAACACCAGUGGCGAAAGCGGCUCUCUGGUCUGUAACUGACGCUGAGGUUCGAAAGCGUGGGUAGCAAACAGGAUUAGAUACCCUGGUAGUCCACGCCGUAAACGAUGAAUGCUAAGUGUUGGAGGGUUUCCGCCCUUCA